UACGAAGGGGGCUAGCGUUGCUCGGAAUCACUGGGCGUAAAGGGUGCGUAGGCGGGUCUUUAAGUCAGGGGGGAAAUCCUGGAGCUCAACUCCAGAACUGCCUUUGAUACUGAGGAUCUUGAGUUCGGGAGAGGUGAGUGGAACUGCGAGUGUAGAGGUGAAAUUCGUAGAUAUUCGCAAGAACACCAGUGGCGAAGGCGGCGCACUGGCCCGAUACUGACGCUGAGGCACGAAAGCGUGGGGAGCAAACAGG
rnacentral:rRNA from 1 species